rnacentral:lncRNA from 1 species
CUAGUGGAGACCCCGCCCACAUAUCCCACAGCUCAGUACAGCAUUCUACCAUAGCUUCCACGGGACAUGCCAAAAUUCAUGGGACACAAUAUGCAUUGUAAUUGUAUGUAUGAUGUUUUAAUACUAAACUUACAGAAUAACAGACAGAAAGAAAACAAAAGACAGAAAAAGAAGAAAGUAGAGAGAGAGAGAGAGAGAGAGAGCCAGAGUUAGACAGAGAGAGAGAGAGGUGGAGGAGAGAGGGAGAGGCGGAGGGAGGGAGUAAAGAAAGAAGGGAAGGAGAAAGGGAGGAGAGGAAAAGACAAAGAUUGGGACCAGAGCUGGAGAACAGAGGGAAUCUCUCCAUCGCUUUGAUUGGUCAAGACCCAGCAGGAUGGGCAGCUACCCAACCGCUGUGCUCCUGUGCUGUUUCUAUGGACUGGUCAUGGUCUUGGCCCAGCAGCCGGGUAGGCCAAACAUCCUGAAUAGUUUUAUUUAAGAGUUUAAUUAAAUUAUUACGUAAACUUUAUUAAAGUUCCAAACUGUCUGUACUGUCUGAUCUGUAGUCCAAACAAAACUGCUAAAACAGCCUGCUGGGAACUGAUCACAGCUGUGAUGUCAUAAUGUUUAUUAAUAGUUUCAUAUUGGAACAGUGUAAUAAUAUGUAAAUGAUGUAUGAUAAUGUGUAUAUAUUCUGUUUAUACAGCUGGAAAAAAGAGACUAUUCAGUUUCUGAAUCAGUUUCUCUGACCUCAGUUUCUCAGACCUUUAAUAAUGAAAACAAGUUCAUAUUCAUAAAGUUUUAAGAGUUCAAAAAUCAAUAUUUGGUGGAAUAACCCUGGUUUUUAAUCACAGUUUUUAUGCAUCUUGGCAUCAUGUUCUCCUCCACCAGUCUUACACACUGCUUUUGGAUAACUUUAUGCCACUCCUAGUGCAAAAAUUCAAGCAAGCAGUUCAGUUUGGUUUGAUGACUUGUGAUCAUCCAUCUU